UACGGAGGAUGCGAGCGUUAUCCGGAUUUAUUGGGUUUAAAGGGUGCGUAGGCGGCUUUUUAAGUCAGCGGUGAAAUUUUGCAGCUUAACUGUAACAGUGCCGUUGAUACUGGGGAGCUAGGAUUUGGUUGCUGUGGGUGGAAUGUGUGGUGUAGCGGUGAAAUGCUUAGAGAUCACACAGAACACCGAUUGCGAAGGCAGCUCACAAAGCCACAUCUGACGCUGAGGCACGAAAGCGUGGGGAGCAAACAGGAUUA
rnacentral:rRNA from 1 species